rnacentral:rRNA from 1 species
GUGCACCAAUCGCGAAUCCUCCGCAAUGCUCGGAAGAGCGACGGGGGACUCCAAGUGCCUACGCUCAGCGUAGGCUGUUCCCGAGCCUAAAAAGACUCGGGGAGUAAGGGCUGGGUAAGACGGGUGCCAGCCGCCGCGGUAAUACCCGCAGCCCGAGUGGUGGCCGCUAUUAUUGAGCCCUAAAGCGUCCGUAGCCGGCUCGGGUAAAAUGCCUGGGGUAAAAUCGUCUGGGCCCCAAACCAGACGAAUUUCCGGGGUAGACUGCCGGGGCUAAGGGGACCCGGAGGAGAGAGAGGGUACUCCAGGGGUAGGGGUGAAAUCAGCAAGGUGAGUUGCUGAUGUAA